AGUCGAGGAGCAGCAUAUAGAUUGCUUGCAAUUUAUGAUGGCGACCGGCGCACGGGUGAGUAACGCGUAUCCAACCUACCCAUUACUAGGGAAUAACCCAGCGAAAGUUGGCCUAAUGCCCUAUGUAGUCGUUUGAUCGCCUGAGAUUUCGACGAAAGAUUUAUCGGUAUUGGAUGGGGAUGCGUCUGAUUAGCUUGUUGGCGGGGUAAAGGCCCACCAAGGCAACGAUCAGUAGGGGUUCUGAGAGGAAGGUCCCCCACAUUGGAACUGAGACACGGUCCAAACUCCUACGGGAGGCAGCAGUGAGGAAUAUUGGUCAAUGGGCGAGAGCCUGAACCAGCCAAGUAGCGUGCAGGACGACGGCCCUAUGGGUUGUAAACUGCUUUUAUAUGGGAAUAAAGUGAGGGACGUGUCCCUUAUUGCAUGUACCAUACGAAUAAGGACCGGCUAAUUCCGUGCCAGCAGCCGCGGUAAUACGGAAGGUCCAGGCGUUAUCCGGAUUUAUUGGGUUUAAAGGGAGCGUACGCUGUUUGUUAAGCGUGUUGUGAAAUGUAGGGGCUCAACUUUUAGAUUGCAGCGCGAACUGGCAGACUUGAGUGCGCACAACGUAGGCGGAAUUCAUGGUGUAGCGGUGAAAUGCUUAGAUAUCAUGACGAACUCCGAUUGC
rnacentral:rRNA from 1 species